rnacentral:rRNA from 1 species
UAGGGAAUCUUCGGCAAUGGACGAAAGUCUGACCGAGCAACGCCGCGUGAGUGAAGAAGGUUUUCGGAUCGUAAAACUCUGUUGUUAGAGAAGAACAAGGACGUUAGUAACUGAACGUCCCCUGACGGUAUCUAACCAGAAAGCCACGGCUAACUACGUGCCAGCAGCCGCGGUAAUACGUAGGUGGCAAGCGUUGUCCGGUUUUAUUGGGCGUAAAGCGAGCGCAGGCGGUUUCUUAAGUCUGAUGUGAAAGCCCCCGGCUCAACCGGGGAGGGUCAUUGGAAACUGGGAGACUUGAGUGCAGAAGAGGAGAGUGGAAUUCCAUGUGUAGCGGUGAAAUGCGUAGAUAUAUGGAGGAACACCAGUGGCGAAGGCGGCUCUCUGGUCUGUAACUGACGCUGGGGCUCGAAAGCGUGGGGAGCAAACAGG